AAACAAGCUGUUAAGAGCAUAUGGUGGAUGCCUUGGUGCUAACAGGCGAUGAAGGACGUGAUAAGCUGCGAUAAGCUUCGGGGAGCGGCAAAUACGCUUUAUAACCCGGAGAUUUCCGAAUGGGGUAACCUGGCUGAGGUCAUACUCAGUCGUUCCAUCCUGAAUAAAAUAAGGAUGGAUACGCGAUACCCGGUGAAGUGAAACAUCUCAGUAACCGGAGGAAAAGAAAGAGAAUCGAUUCCGUCAGUAGUGGCGAGCGAAAGCGGAAUAGCCCAAACCGAGGCCUUUGGUCUCGGGGUUGUAGGGCCCCGAUGUGGGAUUGUUAAUGUUAGGUUAAGUGUGUGGAAAAGCACUCCAAAGAAGGUGAAAGACCUGUGACCGAAAACUGCGACAGCCCUAGGGAGUCCCUGAGUAGUGCCGCACACGUGAAACGUGGCAUGAAUCUGCGCCGACCACGGCGUAAGGCUAAAUACUAGUUAGCGACCGAUAGUGAACCAGUACCGUGAGGGAAAGGUGAAAAGUACCGCUGCGAGCGGAGUGAAAUAGAACCUGAAACCAUAUGCUUACAAGGUGUCAAAGCUCUCUUGAAGAGUGAUGGCGUGCCUUUUGCUUAAUGAGUCUGCGAGUUAGUGUUUGUAGCAAGCUUAAGUCCUUCUGGGACGCAGGCGUAGCGAAAGCGAGUCCGAAUAGGGCGAUCAAAAGUUGCAGGUGCUAGACCCGAAACGGAGGUGACCUACCUAUGGCCAGGUUGAAGCGUCAGUAAAAUGACGUGAAGGACCGAACCGGUGAAUGUUGAAAAAUUCUCGGAUGAGCUGUGGGUCGGAGUGAAAGGCUAAUCAAACCCCGUGAUAGCUGGUUCUCCUCGAAAUGUAUUUAGGUACAGCGUCGCAUGCUGAUUAAGGGGGGUAGAGCACUGAAUGAGCUAGGGCCCAUACCCGGGUACCAACCUCAAUCAAACUCCGAAUACCCUUAAGUGAAGUGCGGCAGUGAGACUGCGGGGGAUAAGCUUCGUAGUCGAAAGGGAAACAGCCCAGAUCAGCAGCUAAGGUGCCAAAAUACCGCUAAGUGGAAAGGAGGUGGGGUUACUUAGACAGUGAGGAUGUUGGCUUAGAAGCAGCCACCAUUUAAAAAGUGCGUAAUAGCUUACUCAUCGAGUGAUCCUGCGCCUAAAAUAAUUGGCGAUUAAGCGGUAUACCGAAGCUCUGGAUGCAUACAUUCUACGGACUGUAUGUGUGGUAGAGGAGCGUUCUCAGAGCCUUGAAGCUGGAUGGUAAUUGAAAGUGGAGUUCUGAGAAGUGAGAAUGCAGACAUGAGUAACGAUAAGCCGGGUGAGAUCCCCGGCCGCCGUAAACCCGAGGUUUCCUGGGCAAUGCUGGUCAUCCCAGGGUUAGUCGGGACCUAAGUCGAGGCCGAUAGGCGUAGACGAUGGAUAGCUGGUUAAUAUUCCAGUACCUCCUGAACCCAAAACAACAGGGACGCAGGGCGAAAAGCAACUAAGUGAUUGAAUUCUGAGGGGCGGCUACGGCCAAACCGUAUUGCUGGAAGCACUGCCAAGAAAAGCUGUUGAAUCGUGCUAAAGGAGCCCGUACCGUAAACCAACACAGGUGGGUGGGUAGAGUAUACCAAGGCGUAAGAGUGAAACCUGGUUAAGGAACUCGGCAAAAUAGCCCCGUAACUUCGGAAUAAGGGGUGCCCUCUCUUUUGAGGGCCGCAGUGAAAGGGGUCAACCGACUGUUUAGCAAAAACACAGCAUUGUGCGAAGACGAAAGUCGAAGUAUACGAUGUGACACGUGACCAAUGCCAAAAGAUUAAGGUAAGGUGUUAGCUUCGGCAAAGCUCUGAACCCAAGUCCUGGUGAAUGUCGGCCGUAACUAUAACGGUCCUAAGGUAGCGAAAUUCCUUGUCGGGUAAGUUCCGACCUGCACGAAUCGUGCAACGAGUUGACCACUGUCUCAACCAGGAGCUCAGUGAAAUUGUAGUGUCGGUGAAGAUGCCGGCUACCCGCAGAAGGACGGAAAGACCCUAUGAACCUUAACUGUAAGCUGUCACUGGUUUUUCGAUUUCGAUGCUCAGUGUAAGUGGGAGACUUUGAAGUUGUGCUUUCGGGCACGAUCGAGUCGUCAAUGAGACACCACCCUUUGGAUUUGGAAAAUCUAACAUCCUGCCUUGAAUCAGGCGGAUGGACAAUGGCAGCCGGUCAGUUUUACUGGGGCGGUAUCCUCCCAAAAAGUAACGGAGGAGCGCGAAGUUUGGCUCAGCAUGGUUGGUAAUCAUGUGUCGAGUGUAUAGGCACAAGCCAGACUAACUGUGAGACCUACAAGUCGAGCAGAUACGAAAGUAGGCCUAAGUGAUCCGGUAGUUGAAUGUGGAAUUGCUAUCGCUCAACGGAUAAAAGGUACUCUAGGGAUAACAGGCUGAUCGCGCCCAAGAGUUCAUAUCGACGGCGCGGUUUGGCACCUCGAUGUCGGCUCGUCGCAUCCUGGGGCUGGAGAAGGUCCCAAGGGUUGGGCUGUUCGCCCAUUAAAGCGGCACGCGAGCUGGGUUCAGAACGUCGCGAGACAGUUCGGUCCUCUAUCCUCUGUGGGCGUAGGAAAAUUGAGGGGUUCAAAUCCUAGUACGAGAGGACCGGGUUUGACGUACCUCUGGUGAUCCAGUUGUUCCGUCCGGGGCAUUGCUGGGCAGCUAAGUACGGAAUAGAUAAGCGCUGAAAGCAUCUAAGCGCCAAGCUACUCCCAAGAUAAAUUUUCCCUGAAGGAUCGUGGUAGACGACCACGUCGAUAGGCUACGGGUAGAAGUGUGGCAACACAUGCAGCUUAGUAGUACUAAUCAUCCGUUUGGCUUGUUUCA
rnacentral:rRNA from 2 species